CACCCCCAUUAGAGUGCCGCAGGUUGCGUCCUAAUGCUGUGCCCCCUCCUCCCCUCCGAACAUGUGGAUUGGCUGUGCCCCCACCCAAAUCUCACCUUAAGUUGUAAUAAUCGCCAUGUGUCAAGGGCAGGGCCAGGUGGAGAGAAUUAAAUCAUGAAGGCUGUUCCCCAUACUGUUCUCGUGGUAGUGAGUAAGUCUCACGAGAUCUGAUGGUUUUAUAAAUGGGAGUUCCCCUGCGCACGCGCUCUUUCCGGCCGCUAUGUAGGAUGUGGCUUUGCUCUUCCUUGGCCUUCCACGGUGCUUGUCAGGCCUCCUCAGUCGCGUGGAGCUGAAAGUGUGAGAAUCACAUUGCUGAAAAUGUGGGAAACCUAGAACGGUAAAGAAACCCACCCACUAUGACUUGGCACCAGGCAGUAUUCCAGACAAGCAUGAUGUCAGUUACAUCCAUGUGUCCAUGAUGGGGUAGGAGAGAAGACUGCUUUUCAGACCCUGCACUUAGUGGAUCAGCUGACGCCAUCCAGACCAGUAAUCUGGCUCACCCGGUUCUACCAUCCCACCCAGGAACAGAAGACAGCAAGAAAAACUCACUUCAACCCACUAUGAUUCCAUCUCCAACCUGACCCAUCAGCACUCCCCACUUCCUGAGCCCCUACCUGCUAGAUUAUCUUUAAAAACUCUGAUCUCCAAAUGCUCCGGGGAGGCUGAUUUGAGUAAUAAUAAAACUCGGAUCUCCCGCAUAAGUGACUCUGUGUAAAUUACUCUUUCCCCUGCAUUCCCCGUUUUGCUAAAUCGGCUCUGUCUAGGCAGUGGGCAAGGUGAACCCGUUGGAUGGGGUAUUUCUCAAGAGUCAAAUAUUAAUAUGUUUCACAUGCAAGACUUAUAUGUGUGUGUGUGUGUGUGUGUGUGUGUGUAAAUCGGCUCUGUCUAGGCAGUGGGCAAGGUGAACCCGUUGGAUGGAGUAUUUCUCAAGAGUCAAAUAUUAAUACGUUUCACAUGCAAGACUUAUAUGUGUGUGUGUGUGUGUGUGUGUGUGUGUGUGUGUUUAAAUCGGCUCUGUCUAGGCAGUGGGCAAGGUGAACCCGUUGGAUGGGGUAUUUCUCAAGAGUCAAAUAUUAAUACGUUUCACAUGCAAGACUUAUGUGUGUGUGUGUGUGUGUGUGUGUGUGUGUCUGUGUGUAAAUCGGCUCUGUCUAGGCAGUGGGCAAGGUGAACCCGUUGGAUGGGGUAUUUCUCAAGAGUCAAAUAUUAAUACGUUUCACAUGCAAGACUUAUGUGUGUGUGUGUGUGUGUGUGUGUGUGUGUAAAUCGGCUCUGUCUAGGCAGUGGGCAAGGUGAACCCAUUGGAUGGGGUAUUUCUCAAGAGUCAAAUAUUAAUACGUUUCACAUGCAAGACUUAUAUAUGUGCGUGUGUGUGUGUGUAUUUACAUAUACCUAUAUUACAAUUGCUUUUGGGGUACACAUGGUUUUUGGUUACAUGGAUGAAGUAUAAGUUAUAUAAUGGUAAAGUCUAAGACUUUAGUGCACCUGUCAUCUGAGCAGUGUACACUGUACCCAGUAUGUAGGGUUUUCAUCCUUUCUUCCCUUGUCAUCCUCUCCCCUUCUGAGUCUCCAGUGUCCAUUAUAUCACUCCGUAUGCUUUUAUGUACCUGUGACUUAGCUCCCACUUAGAAGCAAGAACAUACAGUAUUUGGUUUUUCAUUCCUGAGUUACCUCACUUAGAAUAAUGGCUUCCGC